rfam:Loxodonta africana unplaced genomic scaffold scaffold_35, whole genome shotgun sequence.
GAAAUUUUAGUAAAACAAUUACAUAGCUUUGUCAAAGCUAAAUUACAGGUUUAAAUCUCGUAAAUUUCU